AUACGGAGGGUGCAAGCGUUAACCGGAUUUAUUGGGCUUAAAGCGUGCGUAGGCGGUUUGCUAAGCGGGAGGUGAAAUCCCCGGGCUCAACCUCGGAAGUGCCCCCCGGACUGGGGGGCUUGAGUGACUCUGCCGUGGGAGGACUGCGUAGUGUAGCGGUGAAAUGCUUAGAUAUUACACAGAACACCGAUGGCGAAGGCAUCUCACGUAGGGUUGAUGGACGCUGAGGCACGAAAGCGUAGGGAUCAAACAGGAUUAGAUUCCCUGGUAGUCCACGCAGUAAACGAUGAUGGCUAACCGCGGGGCUUAUCAGUUCAGUGGCCAAGCGAAAGCGAUAAGCCAUCCACCUGGGGAGUACGGCCGCAAGGUUGAAACUCAAAGGAAUUGACGGGG
rnacentral:rRNA from 1 species